GCGGCUGUGGCGAAAUUGGUAGACGCGCAGCGUUGAGGUCGCUGUGGGGCAACCUGUGGAAGUUCGACUCUUCUCGGCCGCACCA
rnacentral:tRNA from 1 species